GUGGGGAAUAUUGGACAAUGGGGGAAACCCUGAUCCAGCCAUGCCGCGUGUGUGAAGAAGGCCUUUUGGUUGUAAAGCACUUUAAGCGAGGAGGAGGCUACCGAGAUUAAUACUCUUGGAUAGUGGACGUUACUCGCAGAAUAAGCACCGGCUAACUCUGUGCCAGCAGCCGCGGUAAUACAGAGGGUGCAAGCGUUAAUCGGAUUUACUGGGCGUAAAGCGCGCGUAGGUGGCCAAUUAAGUCAAAUGUGAAAUCCCCGAGCUUAACUUGGGAAUUGCAUUCGAUACUGGUUGGCUAGAGUAUGGGAGAGGAUGGUAGAAUUCCAGGUGUAGCGGUGAAAUGCGUAGAGAUCUGGAGGAAUACCGAUGGCGAAGGCAGCCAUCUGGCCUAAUACUGACACUGAGGUGCGAAAGCAUGGGGAGCAAACAGGAUUAGAAACCCGUGUAGUCC
rnacentral:rRNA from 1 species